AUGGAACUACGGCGACGGCGACGACUGGCCCGUGCUCGCCCAGCGCUUUUCGAGUCCGGGAUGCACGUCCCGUUUCCGGUACACAAAACCUGCAAGCGAGCGAGAGCAAGUCGCAAGAGGCGUGUCCCUGCGUUCGGAGAGUGGAACAACCACGGCGAUGGCGACGCCGGUGGCUGGACGGCGGCCGUCGUCAACCAGUGCUUCGAGCCUGCCAGGGCAAACAAAUCACUCAAACAGGAAUUCACUGGUUACGACAGUGGCGUCGUCGCCAUGGGGAAGCAGCAGCACAAGGUUGCGAGGAAAACCUGGGCGGCUGACUCUGGGCCCCAUGCGGUAAUGGAGCCCUUCUCCUUCACGGCGGUCAAAGCUGUUGACGAUGACCUGUACGAGGUCCCAUCGGACAUGCUCUGUGCCAACCCACUACGGGGGGCGAUUUGA
rnacentral:rRNA from 1 species